AUUGAACGCUGGCGGCAGGCCUAACACAUGCAAGUCGAACGAGUGGCGGACGGGUGAGUAAUGUCUGGGAAACUGCCCGAUGGCGGGGGAUAACUACUGGAAACGGUAGCUAAUACCGCAUACCAUCGGAUGUGCCCAGAUGGGAUUCGCUGGUAGGUGAGGUAAGGGCUCACCUAGGCGACGAACCCUAGCUGGUCUGAGAGGAUGACCAGCCACACUGGAACUGAGACACGGUCCAGACUCCGACGGUAGGCAGCAGUGGGGAAUUUUGGACAAUGGGCGAAAGCCUGAGGCAGCCAUGCCGCGUGUAUGAAGAAGGCCUUCGGGUUGUAAAGUACUUUCAGCGGGGAGGCGUUACCCGAAGAAGAAGCACCGGCUAACUCCGUGCCAGCAGCCGCGGUAAUAC
rnacentral:rRNA from 1 species